rnacentral:rRNA from 1 species
CGUAGGGGGCUAGCGUUGUCCGGAAUCAUUGGGCGUAAAGCGCGCGUAGGCGGCCCGGUAAGUCCGCUGUAAAAGUCAAAGGCUCAACCUUUGAAUGUCAGUGGAUACUGCCGGGCUAGAGUCCGGAAGAGGCGAGUGGAAUUCCUGGUGUAGCGGUGGAAUGCGCAGAUAUCAGGAGGAACACCAACGGCGAAGGCAGCUCGCUGGGACGGUACUGACGCUGAGGCGCGAAAGCGUGGGGAGCGAACAGGAUUAGAUACCCUGGUAGUCCACGCCGUAAACGAUGGGCACUAGGUGUGGGAGGUGUCGACUCCUCCCGUGCCGGCGCUAACGCAUUAAGUGCCCCGCCUGGGGAGUACGGCCGCAAGGCUA